AACCUUGAGUCACAGUAUCUUGUC
rnacentral:siRNA from 1 species